rnacentral:rRNA from 1 species
CCUAUGGCUGCAGUGAGGAAUAUUGGUCAAUGGACGCAAGUCUGAACCAGCCAUGCCGCGUGCAGGAUGACGGAUCUAUGAGUUGUAAACUGCUUUUGUACGAGGGUAAACCCCGAUACGUGUAUCGGGUUGAAAGUAUCGUACGAAUACGGAUCGGCUAACUCCGUGCCAGCAGCCGCGGUAAUACGGAGGAUACGAGCGUUAUUCGGAUUUCUUGGGUUUAAGGGGUGCGUAGGCGGGUUGAAAAGGUAGAGGUGAAAUGUAGGGGCUCAAACCCGAAACUGCCUCUAAUACUGUUGGGCUAGAGAAUAGUAGCGGUAGGCGGAAUGCAUGGUGUAGCGGUGAAAUGCUUAGAGAUCAUACAGAACACCGAUGGCGAAGGCAGCUUACCAAACUAUAUCUGACGUUGAGGCACGAAAGCGUGGGUAGCAAACAGGAUUAGAUACCCGAGUAGUC